rnacentral:rRNA from 1 species
UACGGAGGGCGCAAGCGUUGUUCGGAAUCACUGGGCGUAAAGCGCGUGCAGGCGGCUUGGUAAGUCGGAUGUGAAAUCCCGGAGCUCAACUCCGGAACUGCACCCGAUACUGCCUCGCUAGAGUCCCGGAGAGGAUGGCGGAAUUUCCGGUGUAGAGGUGAAAUUCGUAGAUAUCGGAAGGAACACCAGCGGCGAAGGCGGCCAUCUGGACGGUGACUGACGCUCAGACGCGAAAGCGCGGGGAGCAAACAGGAUUAGAUACCCUGGUAGUCCGCGCUGUAAACGUUGGGUGCUAGGCGUCGUGGGUAUUGACCCCCGCGGUGCCGAAGCUAACGCAUUAAGCACCCCGCCUGGGGAGUACGGUCGCAAGACUAAA